CCUACGGGAGGCAGCAGUGGGGAAUAUUGCACAAUGGGGGAAACCCUGAUGCAGCGACGCCGCGUGAGUGAAGAAGUAUUUCGGUAGGUAAAGCUCUGUCAGCAGGGAAGAAAAUGACGGUACCUGACCAAGAAGCCCCGGCUAACUACGGGCCAGCAGCCGCGGUAAUACGUAGGGGGCAAGCGUUAUCCGGAUUUACUGGGUGUAAAGGGAGCGUAGCCGGGAGGGCAAGGCUGGCGUGAAAGGCGGGGGCUCAACCCCCGGACUGCUCUGGAAACUGCCAGGCUGGAGUGCAGGAGAGGUAAGUGGAAUUCCUAGUGUAGCGGUGACAUGCGUAGAUAUUAGGAGGAACCCCAGUGGCGAAGGCGGCUUACUGGACUGUAACUGACGUUGAGGCUCGAAAGCGUGGGGAGCAAACAGGAUUAGAUACCCGAGUAGUC
rnacentral:rRNA from 1 species